rnacentral:rRNA from 1 species
CGCAUCUGUGCAUGCAGCAUAUCAAUAAGCGGAGGAAAAGAAACUAACAAGGAUUCCCUCAGUAACGGCGAGUGAAGCGGGAAGAGCUCAAAUUUGAAAUCUUGAAGGGUCACCUUUCACGAAUUGUAGUUUAAAGAAGUGUUUUCUGCUGACGUAUCGGUAAUAUAAGUUCUUUGGAAUAGGACAUCAUAGAGGGUGAGAAUCCCGUAUUUGACCAUUACUUUCAACUUCGUGAUACACCUUCAAAGAGUCGGAUUGUUUGGGAAUGCAGUCCAAAAUGGGUGGUAAAUUUCAUCUAAAGCUAAAUAUUGGCGAGAGACCGAUAGCGAACAAGUACCGUGAGGGAAAGAUGAUAAGAACUUUGAAAAGAGAGUUAAACAGUACGUGAAAUUGUCAAAAGGGAAGCGUUUAACACCAGUGUUGUUUUUCUGAAAAUCAAUUAAAGAACUGUUUAUGCUAAGCUGUUUAGACUUUAUCAGCUAACUGUUUAGUUUUGAGCUUUUCUUUAAUGCACUUUUCAGUUAACAAGUCAACAUCAAUUUCUUUUGCUGUAAAAAAGCUUGAGGAAGGUGGCUUGAGAUUCGUCUUAAGUGUUUAUAGCCUCUUGCCUAUGCAGUCGGAGAGAUUGAGGUCUGCAGCGUAGAUCCUUCGGGGCUAAAUGCAUUUGUGCUAAGUUAUAGCAUUUUAUAGACAACCUGUUGACUAUGAUUAGUCUUGUAGCUUACUCGCUUAUGCUAUUUUACCUACGCUUAGGAUGUUGACGAUCAGCUGAGCGCG